UACGUAGGGUGCGAGCGUUGUCCGGAAUUACUGGGCGUAAAGAGCUCGUAGGUGGUUUGUCGCGUUGUUCGUGAAAACUCACAGCUUAACUGUGGGCGUGCGGGCGAUACGGGCAGACUGGAGUACUGCAGGGGAGACUGGAAUUCCUGGUGUAGCGGUGGAAUGCGCAGAUAUCAGGAGGAACACCGGUGGCGAAGGCGGGUCCUGCGUAGGCA
rnacentral:rRNA from 1 species